AAACCAUGAUGAGGACAUUCUAAGAUGAGGUCUUUGAAUCUUUCCAUACACCUAGAGAAUGAUUCACUGGGUUUCUGAUGAAACUGAAGUACAUCGUUCCUAAGCUU
rfam:Cephalotus follicularis DNA, scaffold: scaffold1864, isolate: St1.